rnacentral:ncRNA from 1 species
GUGCUGAAUGAAAAAAGAGAAAUUACUUCUGUGACAAGGAUGGGAAAGGCUCUGGGAUCUGAAAACACACAUGUGGUUAAGGCAUCGCCACCUACUUCAUUGUGUCUACCCAUCAUUUUUA